rnacentral:rRNA from 1 species
GAGUUUGAUCCUGGCUCAGAUGAACGCUGGCGGCGUGCCUAAUACAUGCAAGUCGAGCGAGAAUCAGCGGAACGGAGAUUCGUCGAAGUGAAGCAGAGGAAAGCGGCGGACGGGUGAGUAACGCGUAGGCAACCUGCCCUUAGCAGAGGGAUAGCCAUUGGAAACGAUGAUUAAAACCUCAUAAUGCUGACAGUACACAUGUGCAGUCAGCCAAAGAUUUAUCGGCUAGGGAUGGGCCUGCGUCUGAUUAACUGGUUGGUGAGGUAACGGCCCACCAAGGUGACGAUCAGUAGCCGACCUGAGAGGGUGAUCGGCCACAUUGGAACUGAGACACGGUCCAAACUUCUACGGAAGGCAGCAGUAAGGAAUCUUGCACAAUGGGGGAAGCCCUGAUGCAGCAACGCCGCGUGAACGAUGAAGGCCUUAGGGUUGUAAAGUUCUGAUCUGGGGGAAGAAGAAGUGACGGUACCCCAGGAGAAAGCCCCGGCUAAAUACGUGCCAGCAGCCGCGGUAAUACGUAUGGGGCAAGCGUUAUCCGGAAUUAUUGGGCGUAAAGAGUGCGUAGGUGGUUACCUAAGCGCAAGGUUUAAUCUUGAGGCUCAACCUCAUUCUGCCUUGCGAACUGGGCUACUUGAGUGCAGGAGGGGAAAGCGGAAUUCCCAGUGUAGCGGUGAAAUGCGUAGAUAUUGGGAAGAACACCGGGUGGCGAAGGCGGCUUUCUGGACUGUAACUGACACUGAGGCACGAAAGCGUGGGGAGCAAACAGGAUUAGAUACCCUGGUAGUCCACGCCGUAAACGAUGAGCACUAGUUGUUGGGUACGAAUGUAUUCAGUGACGCAGUUAACGCAAUAAGUGCUCCGCCUGGGGAGUACGGUGGCAACACUAAAACUCAAAGGAAUUGACGGGGACCCGCACAAGCAGCGGAGCAUGUGGUUUAAUUCGAAGCAACGCGAAAAACCUUACCAGGGCUUGACAUCCCUCUGACCGGAUCUUAACCGAUCCUUUCUUCGGACAGAGGUGACAGGUGGUGCAUGGUUGUCGUCAGCUCGUGUCGUGAGAUGUUGGGUUAAGUCCCGCAACGAGCGCAACCCUUGUCGUCAGUUACUAACAUUCAGUUGAGGACUCUGACGAGACUGCCGAGGUCAACUCGGAGGAAGGUGGGGAUGACGUCAAAUCAUCAUGCCCCUUAUGUUCUGGGCUACACACGUGCUACAAUGGCCGGUACAAUGAGAAGCAAUAUGGCGACAAGGAGCAAAUCACCAAAACCGGUCCCAGUUCGGAUUGCAGGCUGCAACUCGCCUGCAUGAAGUCGGAGUUGCUAGUAAUCGCGAAUCAGCAUGUCGCGGUGAAUGCGUUCCCGGGUCUUGUACACACCGCCCGUCACACCAUGGAAGUUGGGGGCGCCCAAAGUUGGCUAAUCAAUCUGCUACCUAAGGCGAAACCAAUGACUGGGGUGAAGUCGUAACAAGGUAACC